GACUAACGCUGGCGGCGUGCCUAACACAUGCAAGUCGAACGGAAGUAAGACUCCGGUUUUACUUUAGUGGCGAACGGGUGAGUAACGCGUGAGAAACCUGCCCUUCAGUGGGGGACAACAGUUGGAAACGACUGCUAAUACCGCACAACACUUUAGGACCGCAUGGUACAGAAGUCAAAGCUUUAUGUGCUGAGAGAUGGUCUCGCGUCUGAUUAGCUAGAUGGCGGGGUAACGGCCCACCAUGGCGACGAUCAGUAGCCGGUCUGAGAGGAUGAACGGCCACAUUGGGACUGAGAUACGGCCCAG
rnacentral:rRNA from 1 species